GCUUGCUAUUUUUAUGAAGAGCGGCGAACGGGUGAGUAACGCGUGGGAAAUCUGCCGAGUAGCGGGGGACAACGUUUGGAAACGAACGCUAAUACCGCAUAACAAUGAGAAUCGCAUGAUUCUUAUUUAAAAGAAGCAAUUGCUUCACUACUUGAUGAUCCCGCGUUGUAUUAGCUAGUUGGUAGUGUAAAGGACUACCAAGGCGAUGAUACAUAGCCGACCUGAGAGGGUGAUCGGCCACACUGGGACUGAGACACGGCCCAGACUCCUACGGGAGGCAGCAGUAGGGAAUCUUCGGCAAUGGGGGCAACCCUGACCGAGCAACGCCGCGUGAGUGAAGAAGGUUUUCGGAUCGUAAAACUCUGUUGUUAGAGAAGAACGUUAAGUAGAGUGGAAAAUUACUUAAGUGACGGUAUCUAACCAGAAAGGGACGGCUAACUACGUGCCAGCAGCCGCGGUAAUACGUAGGUCCCAAGCGUUGUCCGGAUUUAUUGGGCGUAAAGCGAGCGCAGGUGGUUUCUUAAGUCUGAUGUAAAAGGCAGUGGCUCAACCAUUGUGUGCAUUGGAAACUGGGAGACUUGAGUGCAGGAGAGGAGAGUGGAAUUCCAUGUGGUAGCGGG
rnacentral:rRNA from 1 species